GCUCUUGUGGAGAUUAUUGGUGAAGUUAUCAACACUUUGAACACUCACCAUGUGUAUCAAGCAAAGAUCAUUUCUCUUUUAGGAAUUUUGAUAUGUAAAUUGUCGAAUCUUUUGAACCAUAUCUGCUACUGUGGACGGUAAAACCAACACAUCUAGAGAUAGAAAAUGAACAUUUUACUGCUUCACAUGUACGGUCUGGUUGUUUUAAUGUUCAAUCAAUUACUUGUUAUGAGAUUUCCCUGUGAUUCACAACUGUUGCCCUUUUGUUUCCCUUUAUUUUCCCCUUGAGAAAUUUCAUUGUGGAUGGUCCUUGUUGAAUUUCAAGAUGGCUUAGCAUGCUCAGAAAUCUCCCUAGAAUGUAAUAACUAUUGUCUUGUGGCAUUUGUCUGCUGGUGGUAGCACCUUAUCACAUUGUUACAUUUAUCUUGUUUGAGGCAAUUUGAAUUCUCUUGUUUUUACAUUGUUAUA
rnacentral:misc_RNA from 1 species